ACAUCGUAUUUCAAUAUAAGAGAAAGGCUCUAAAAAUUCAGUCUUUGGGAUUAAAUAAUAAAGAUCUAAAGUAGGACGAACUGGAAAACUGUUCAACUGGUCAGUGUGGGUUGACCGCAGCUCAGAGCUUUCUUUGUCUCCAGAUGAUGUGAGGAAUCUCAAGCCCUGCUAAGUUCCUUCUGCUGCUGAGUCCUACAACGACACGAUGAUCCUAUAUUUGGCGCUUCAGACAGUUGCCACGGAAGUGAGAGCGGCAGACACUUUCAGCUUUCUGGCUUCACUGUGGGAUCCAGCGUAGAACAUGAUUUAUCACUUUCCUUACGUAUGACUUCUUCACUCACUUUUCUGAACAACAGAAACCACCACCGGAAUCACUUCUGUGCCCCUCUGUCUGAGAACAUGGGCUGUCACAUCUCCCCUGGAAAGGUAACACCUGACAAGGCGCGAUAAGCCAGCCAGGCAGAGGGGUUCAGCACCGAGUGUGGGGCCAACAGGCCUGACCCAAAGUCCACGUGCACCAUUUACUGAACCUGUGAUGGUGAGCUCGUCACUGAAACCAUCUGUACCUGUUUCCUUACCUGUGAAGUCAGAAUGACGAUCAUGGUGUCCAGUGGGCACAGGACUUGAAUCAGAGAAGCCGUGUGUAGGAGGCGCAGUAGUGCCUCUCACACAGUAAGCACUCCGUAACCGUACUCAAUAUGGUGCUAUUUCAUCAGGGUCCUAUGAAUAAAAACAAGAUCUCAGGAAUGAAAGCUUAGAAUUGAACCUCUUUUUUCCAAACCAGAUGCGGCUAUUUGGUGGCCAGGCCCUCUCCAUCCCUUGCUUAGAUGAUUGCAAUCGCCUCCUAACUGGCUUUGCAGCCAGCAGCACUCCCAUCCCCACCCCCGCCCAAUUCCAAUUCGCUGUCGUCAUUUCAGGUUCAAGAUACGAUGAACUCAUCUUCGGAUGAAAACAACUCUAAAAGCUAAUAUAUGAAACAAGUGCAUGAAGGAACUGGCAGCACCCAGUCGGCAGGACAGGAGAGGAGAGGCUGGGUCCUUGGGUGAAGACGCCGCUGCAGGGAUGCCCCACACUCACCAGGGCUUUUGUCUGAGAGCAGUUUCCAGUUCUCAGCACAGGGGAAACAGGCCCCAGCAAAAAGGCAGGAAUCUGUCGGGCUGAGGAGAAACAAGUUGAAAUUUGGGGGCUGCCGAAGUGCCUAGAACUGGAGAGGAAAGCUUACAGAGAGCCGGGAGUCAAGGUGAAGUGCAAUGAAAAAGUCGUCUCAAUCCCCUCCUCCCUCAUGCAUUACAUGAGCUUAGCGUGAGACUCCAAAAGGCCCCGCAGACAACAGCAGAGAGAACAAAGGGCCGAGCAAAAGCCGAGUUGUUAAUAGGUCGCUGUGCAGUGCUGCAAAGAUGAAAUGAGAGUUCAGGGUGAGAUGAGGGGAGUUGAGGGGGGGGGGGGCUCAGUACAUUUCCCCAGCUUUCUGUCAAGACACAGAUGUAUUAUAUCCUGAGAGUGAGGCCUCUCUUUCUCCACGUUCUCGCCAAUACUUCUUGUCUUGGCAACAGCCAUUCUAACAGGUGUGAGGUGAUAUCCCGCUGUGGUUAUGAUUUGCGUUUCCCUAGUAGCUAGUGAUGUUGAGCACCUUUUCAUGUACCUGUCAGCCAUCUGUAUGUUUCUCUUGGAAAAGUGUCUAUUCAAGUCUUCUGCCCAUUUUUCAAUUGGAUUGUUUUGUGUUAUUUUCUCAGGUGGGGAUCUAAAGUUAUGUUUUCUGUAAGACUUGCGAGAAUGCUGGUAAAAGACAGAUCACUGCCAUCUUACUGUUGCAUAGUUUGAACAUCUGUAGAAAUCAUUGCAUGAAGUAAAAGUCUUAAAAUUUAAAUGCUGAACCGUAAUCAAAAUCAAAAGAACAGAAAAAUGCAUGUAACACACAUAUGCUAAAGAUUAAUUUCCUUUCUAUAUAAAGAGCUCUUACAAAUCAAUAAAUUUUUAAAAACCAAUAGAAAAUUAGGCAAAGGAGGUGGAUAGACAAUACACAGAAAGGAAAAAAAUAGAUCCUGAACAAGAAAAGACAAUGUCUCUCAUAAGAGAAAUUAACAUUAAAACUGUUGGG